GACGAACGCUGGCGGCGUGCCUAAUACAUGCAAGUCGAACGCAGUGGGGGCGGGUGAGUAACACGUGGGUAACCUCCCAUCAGAGGGGAUAACACUUGGCAACAGGUGCUAAACCGAUACUGAAUGAUGGACCCGCGGUGCAUUAGCUAGUGGGUGAGGUAACGGCUCACCAAGGCCACGAUGCAUAGCUGACCUGAGAGGGUGACCGGCCACACUGGGACUGAGACACGGCCCAGACUCCUACGGGAGGCAGCAGUAGGGAAUAUUCGGCAAUGGACGAAAGUCUGACCGAGCAACGCCGCGUGAGUGAAGAAGGCUUUCGGGUUGUAAAACUCUGUUGGUAGAGAGGCGUUAUCUACACAGAAAGCACCGGCUAACUACGUGCCAGCAGCCGCGGUAAUUC
rnacentral:rRNA from 1 species